rnacentral:misc_RNA from 1 species
GAUGAAGAACGCAGCAAAAUGCGAUAAGUAAUGUGAAUUGCAGAAUUCAGUGAAUCAUCGAAUCUUUGAACGCACAUUGCGCCCUCUGGUAUUCCGGGGGGCAUGCCUGUUCGAGCGUCAUUAUAACCACUCAAGCUCUCGCUUGGUAUUGGGGUUCGCGGUUUCGCGGCCCCUAAAAUCAGUGGCGGUGCCUGUCGGCUCUACGCGUAGUAAUACUCCUCGCGAUUGAGUCCGGUAGGUCUACUUGCCAGCAACCCCUAAUUUUUUUUAAGGUUGACCUCGGAUCAGGUAGGGAUACCCGCUGAACUUAAGCAUAUCAAUAAGCGGAGGA